rnacentral:rRNA from 1 species
UACGUAGGGCGCAAGCGUUGUCCGGAAUUAUUGGGCGUAAAGAGCUCGUAGGCGGCUUGUCACGUCGGGUGUGAAAGCCCGGGGCUUAACCCCGGGUCUGCAUUCGAUACGGGCUGGCUAGAGUGCGGUAGGGGAGAUCGGAAUUCCUGGUGUAGCGGUGAAAUGCGUAGAUAUCAAGAGGAACACCUGAGGUGAAGACGGGUUGCUGGGCUGACACUGACGCUGAGGCGCGAAAGCCAGGGGAGCAAACGGG